CCUGAAUUUCAGGUGGCUGCAGUGAGUUGGCUCACUACCGCCAUACACAAACAUUCAGUGUCCAGGGAGCUGCAAUCCUACAGGGACGCUGCGAGUCAGUGCAAUAUUGAAAUGCAGAGUAGAGUUAUUUGGAGAAAAGAAAUUAAAUGUCUGAGUAGUCACUACUUCAACACAAAAAGUGAUUUUCUUUCUUGUCAGUCAUUUUGUUACUUUACUUAAGUGACAACUUCACCUAACGCAGUCGGCUCUUCCGCCUUUGACACUUCGGCAGCUGACGCCGAAAAGCAAUGUUGAUAUUUGGGAAUAAUCGCUGAUUAAGUCGAUCGGAAAGAGGCGAAAUUAUCCUGGAAAGUCGUCCACAUGGAUGCAAAAAUGGUUUCCUGUGAAAGAAAUGUGGAUUCUUGUAAAAGAAGUCAAAUAAAACGUGACGCCAAAUAAACGUUUAAUCCUCGUUGGCGAAAUCGCAUUAAUCAUAUAGAAAAUGAAUGUCAAGGAAAGCUGCAUUGUGGCACUGAAGUUUAUUAUCAAGCCACGUGGAAGUGAGGAGAAUGUGUUUAGGAAGUGGCUUGCGACAUUUAAGGGACAAUAUUCUACCACUCGGAAAUGCUACAGGAAAAAGGCUCUGGGUUAUUCCAUGUCCUGUUCCUGAGUACCUGUACAUUCUCUCAGGGCUCAAAGUGCUGACUGCAUGCUGGAACACGGCACACAGCCUACAGGAAGCCCACACAGGAAACGGCCACUGCAUUGUUGCUCCUGUCCGCCGGGAAUCCAGCCGCUCCUUCAGUGUUGUUUCAGAGUUUCAGGAGCGUGUCACAUUUCGCCCCCUACGCACACUCGUACAAAGGCUAGACGUCCUUUUGCUCGACUGCAUCUGGCAUUGGUGUUUGUGUGAAUAGGAAGAGGAAGCAAUAUAUGUCUUGGCCCAUUCCACAUGGGUGCACUGCUUCCUAUAUUUCUUACAUUCCUGUUUUAUUGGCAUGUAAAUACUAAAGCUGCCAUUGUGCAUUUUUGUUUUUUAUUUAACCUACUGUAGUCAGUUUUUUGUCUUUUACAUUAUAAAUUGUGAAGUAAAAAUGUCUAUGUGUAUGUUAUUUAUGGCCUUUGCAAAUUCCAUAAUGCUGUUGUUGGCUGUCAUUCUGUCAGGUACUGCUCAAAUUCCUACCUCUGGUUUGUUCAUCACUUGCUUGCAACCCGAGUAAACCCAAAUGCAGUUUUAAAUGAUAUUUAUUGAAGCAAAAAAAAAAAAAAAAAAAAAUUCCUAUACCAACUGGGCCUUUGUAAAAAUGUAUUUGCCCCUGUUACUAAUUCCCCAAAUCUAUGACACUGCAUUCAUAAUGGGGUUUGGCUGGACUAGACGCAACCGGGCUUGAUUACUGCAAACCCACUUCAAUCAAAUCAACACUUGAACAGCAUGAAGUUGGUUAAUAGGUCUUACCCAGUUGCACACUAUGCCAAAAUUUAAAGAAAUUCCAGAAAUGGUGAGGAAGAAGGUGAUUGAAAUACAGCAGUCUGGGAAGGGUUAUACAGCUAUUCCAAAUACAAUGCGACUUCAAAGAACAACAGUGAGGGUCAUUAUCUCCAAAGGGAAAAACUCGGCUCAGUAGUGAACCUUCCCAGAAGUAGCCGACCUUCCAAAAUUAAUCCAUGAGCACAGCAACGACUCAUCCAGCAAGUCACAAAAGAGCCAAGGACAACAUCAAAGAACCUACAGGGCUGUCUUGCUUCAAUAAAGGUCACUGUUCAUGACUCCUCUAUCAGAAAGACACUGGGUAAAAAUGGCGUCUAUGGAAGCGUGGUGAAAUGAAAACCACUGUCGACCCAGAAUAACAUUAAGGCUCGUCAGAAUUUUGCCAAAACACACCUCGAUGACACACAAACCUGUUGGGAGAAUGUUCUGUGGAUUGAAGAGUCGAAACUAUUUGGAUGACAGGGGUCCCGUUAAAUCUGGCGUAAACCAAACACAGAAUUCCACAAAAAGAUAAUCAUCCCUACGGUCAAGCAUGAUGGUGGAAGUUUGAUUGUGUGGGGAUGCUUUGCUGCUUCAGGGUCUGGGCAACUUGCAGUAAUUGAGGGAAACAUGAAUUCUGCUCUCAACCAGAAAAUCCUAAAGGAGAAUAUUCUGUCUUCAGUGCGUAAGUUGAAACUCAAGUGCGACUGGAUUAUGCAGCAAGACAAUGAUCCAACGCAUAGGUGUAAGUCCACCGCUGAAUGGUUUAAAAAAAAUUUAAAAAAAGGCAAAAUGAAAGUUUUGGAGUGGCCUAUUAAAAGUCCGGACUUGAACCAAUUGAGAUGCUGUGGCAGGACCUUAAACGGGCAAUUCAUGCUUGAAAACUCUCCAGUGGAGCUGAAAUAAAGCAGUUCUGCAAAGAAGAGUGGGCCAAAAUUCCACCACAGAAAGACUGAUCUCCAGUUAUCAGAAGCAUUUGGUUGCAGUUAUUGCUGCUAAAG
ensembl:lncRNA